rnacentral:rRNA from 1 species
GACGAACCGUGCGAACGUUGUUCGGAUUCACUGGGCUUAAAGGGCGCGUAGGCGGGUCAGCAAGUCCGGGGUGAAAGCUUUCGGCUCAACCGGAAAAGGGCCUUGGAUACUGCUGGUCUGGAGGAAGGUAGGGGCGUGUGGAACUUCCGGUGGAGCGGUGAAAUGCGUAGAUAUCGGAAGGAACACCGGUGGCGAAGGCGGCCCCCUGGUUGGAUACUGACGCUGAGGCACGAAAGCGUGGGGAGCAAACAGG